rnacentral:rRNA from 1 species
GAUGAACGCUAGCGGCAGGCCUAAUACAUGCAAGUCGGACGGGAUUGAGAAGCUUGCUUUUCAUGAGAGUGGCGCACGGGUGCGCAACACGUAUGUAACCUACCUUAAUCAGGGGGAUAGCCUCUCGAAAGAGAGAUUAACACCGCAUAAAAUCAAUUUAUGGCAUCAUAGAAUGAUCAAAUAUUUAUAGGAUUAAGAUGGGCAUGCGGAACAUUAGCUAGCUGGUAAGGUAACGGCUUACCAAGGCUACGAUGUUUAGGGGAUCUGAGAGGAUGACCCACCACACUGGUACUGAGACACGGACCAGACUCCUACGGGAGGCAGCAGUAAGGAAUAUUGGUCAAUGGGCGCAAGCCUGAACCAGCCAUGCCGCGUGCAGGAAGACGGCCCUACGGGUUGUAAACUGCUUUUGUACCGGAAUAAACCUUUGUAUGUAUACGAAGCUGAAUGUACGGUAAGAAUAAGGAUCGGCUAACUCCGUGCCAGCAGCCGCCGUAA